rnacentral:tRNA from 1 species
GAGGGUAUAGUUCAGUGGUGGAGCACAUACCUAGCAUGCAGUGAGGUCCUGGGUUCAAUGCCCAGUACUUCCA